rnacentral:rRNA from 1 species
CAAUAGCGUAUAUUUAAGUUGCUGCAGUUAAAAAGCUCUUAGUUGGAUUUCGGGUGGGAAUGGCCGGUCCGCCGUUUCGGUGUGCACUUGCUACGCCCACCUUGCUGCCGGGGACGUGCUCUUGAGUUCACGCUCGGGACACGGAGUCGGCGAGGUUACUUUGAGUAAAUUAGAGUGUUCAAAGCAGGCCUACGCUCUGAAUACAUUAGCAUGGAAUAACACGAUAGGACUCUGGCCUAUCUUGUUGGUCUGUAGGACCGGAGUAAUGAUUAAGAGGGACAGUCGGGGGCAUUCGUAUUUCAUUGUCAGAGGUGAAAUUCUUGGAUUUAUGAAAGACGAACUACUGCGAAAGCAUUUGCCAAGGAUGUUUUCAUUAA